rnacentral:rRNA from 1 species
CCAAACCCCUGUGACAUACCACUUGUUGCCUCGGCGGAUCAGCCCGCUCCCGGUAAAACGGGACGGCCCGCCAGAGGACCCCUAAACUCUGUUUCUAUAUGUAACUUCUGAGUAAAACCAUAAAUAAAUCAAAACUUUCAACAACGGAUCUCUUGGUUCUGGCAUCGAUGAAGAACGCAGCAAAAUGCGAUAAGUAAUGUGAAUUGCAGAAUUCAGUGAAUCAUCGAAUCUUUGAACGCACAUUGCGCCCGCCAGUAUUCUGGCGGGCAUGCCUGUUCGAGCGUCAUUUCAACCCUCAAGCACAGCUUGGUGUUGGGACUCGCGUUAAUUCGCGUUCCCCAAAUUGAUUGGCGGUCACGUCGAGCUUCCAUAGCGUAGUAGUAAAACCCUCGUUACUGGUAAUCGUCGCGGCCACGCCGUUAAACCCCAACUUCUGAAUGUUGACCUCGGAUCAGGUAGGAAUACCCGCUGAACUUAAGC